rnacentral:piRNA from 4 species
UAAUGGUUAGCACUCUGGACUCUGA